rnacentral:lncRNA from 1 species
AUACAAAAUUCCUAUAUGAUCUUUGUAGCACAUUACCAUUAACCUUUAUUCAUUAUGGUAUCUUUAUUUUUUAGGUAUCUGGAUGGCCCAUAAAACAUAUUUUUUUUUUUUAAAGGAGAGUAGCUGGUCUUUUCAUCUUUACCUGCCGAGCCCUUAGCACAGUGCCUGCUCAGGAUGCUAUGAUUCUACUGUCUUGACCCCACAGUAAAGGUACUUGAGUUAAAACCGGAUGAAACCCAGCAUCCCCAGCCUCACUUCCUCUCACGUCCAAGGGAGCAGGACUCACCCUUCUGUUUCCCGGCCAAGCCUGCUGAUGCCGAGCCCAGAGCCCAACCCUCCCUGCAGGGAGCCUGCCAAAUGGAAUAGAGAAUUAGGCCUUGGUCAUACAGUCAUGUCACAGGAAGGGACCCAUGGACAAGGACUUCUCAGGAAGAUUGGUGCAAAGGACAUACUUCCAAGGGUGUGGCCUCCAGCGCCAACCUCGGGGCUCCACUCCAGACCCUGAAGGAGGAAGAGUGGUGCCAGUGGAUCCCUAGGAAGGGGACUCAAGAAGAAAGGAAGGUUCCAGAUGCCUGAGGAGGGAGCUGCGGUAUGUCAGGGUCUGCCCCCAUCUCCGCCGGCUGGCCUGCACGCUGCCAAAUUGCCUCUUGAUAUUUAUUUGUUUCUUGUUUCUUUGACAGAAACACACACACACACACACACACACACACACACACACACACACACACACACACACACACCCAUUGCUGACAUACACAAUUAAUCAGGCGGAGUAUUUCUGAUGUGUGGUUUAACCCUGCCCUGCACUUACCAGGUCCAGGUCCCAGGGCCCCGUAGCUGUCUCACACGGUUCCCUAGCAACCAGAUGAGACAGGGAAAUGUGCAGUUUCAUCACCACAAGAUGUUAGGUCAAUUAAUAUUCAUUAGCAGUGCCUGUGUUUGGCUGCUAGGAGACAUUACGGAGGAAAAAAAUCUUUGUUGCCUGAAUGGGGGGUGGAAGGGGUGGAGAGACCCAUGAAUAUGUAUGUUAUGUACUGAAGAUGUGUUUUCUUAUACUUACGCUCGCACAUUGGCCCACAUGUACAUGUAGAUUAAAAACAUUCCUCUGUGUAUUGACAAUUAUUCUUCCAAGUUUAUAUUAUAGGACUAGGUUUCAGAAAAAAUAGGAAGGUUCUACCCCCAAAUAUUUAUCAUGGCUCAUUCAGGUCACCUGAAAUUAUACCACCAGUAAUUCUUUAAUUUAAUUUUUUUCUUUUUUAGGGACGAACCUGCAGCAUGUGGAAGUUUCUGGGCUAGGGGUUGCAUGGGAGGUGCAGCUGCAGGCCUAUGCCACAGCCUUGGCAACACCAGAUCUGAGCCCCAUCUGCAAACUGUACAGCAGCUUGAGACAACACUGGAUCCUGAACCCACUGAGCAAAGCCAGGGAUUGAACGUCCCUGUAUCCUCACCGACACAAUGUUGGUUCUUAACCUGCUGAGCCACAAUGGGACUCCUAUUUUAUUUUA